rnacentral:rRNA from 1 species
AUUGAACGCUGGCGGCAGGCCUAACACAUGCAAGUCGAACGAGUGGCGGACGGGUGAGUAAUGUCUGGGAAACUGCCUGAUGGAGGGGGAUAACUACUGGAAACGGUAGCUAAUACCGCAUACCAUCGGAUGUGCCCAGAUGGGAUUAGCUAGUAGGUGGGGUAACGGCUCACCUAGGCGACGAUCCCUAGCUGGUCUGAGAGGAUGACCAGCCACACUGGAACUGAGACACGGUCCAGACUCCUACGGGAGGCAGCAGUAGGGAAUCUUCCGCAAUGGGCGAAAGCCUGACGGAGCAACGCCGCGUGAGUGAUGAAGGUCUUCGGAUCGUAAAACUCUGUUAUUAGGGAAGCGUUACCCGCAGAAGAAGCACCGGCUAACUCCGUGCCAGCAGCCGCGGUAAUUC